rnacentral:rRNA from 1 species
CCUACGGGAGGCAGCAGUAGGGAAUCUUUCACAAUGGGCGAAAGCCUGAUGGAGCAACGCCGCGUGCAGGAUGAAGGCCUUCGGGUUGUAAACUGCUUUUAUCAGCGAGAAAUAUGACGGUAACUUAUGAAUAAGGCUCGGCUAACUACGUGCCAGCAGCCGCGGUCAUACGUAGGAUCCGAGCAUUAUCCGGAGUGACUGGGUGUAAAGAGUUGCGUAGGUGGCAUAAUAAGUAGCUAGUGAAAUCUGGUGGCUCAACCAUUCAGACUAUUAGCUAAACUGUUAAGCUCGAGACCGUUAGAGGUAACUGGAAUUUCUAGUGUAGGAGUGAAAUCCGUAGAUAUUAGAAGGAACACCAAUAGCGUAGGCAGGUUGCUGGGACGGUUCUGACACUAAGGCACGAAAGCGUAGGGAGCAAACGGGAUUAGAUACCCGGGUAGUC